GCAGUUGACGGCAACAUAAAUGUUUACAUUUGAUGGCGAGUAGCGAACGGGUGAGUAAUACAUUGGAACAUACAUUAUAGUGGGGGAUAGCUUGACGAAAGUUAAAUUAAUACCGCAUAAUUAUAAUCUAUGGAUUAAAGCAGGGGAUUUAAAUAGUUUUUAACUAUUUAAACCUUGCGCUAUAAAAUUGGCCAAUGUCUGAUUAGCUAGUUGGUAAGUUAAAAGCCUACCAAGGCUACGAUCAGUAGCUGGUCUGAGAGGAUGAUCAGUCACACUGGGACUGAGAUACGGCCCAGACUCCUACGGGAGGCAGCAGUGGGGAAUUUUGGACAAUGAGCGCAAGCUUGAUCCAGCAAUAUCGCGUGUGCGAUGAAGGCCUAAGGGUCGUAAAGCACUUUUUUUUGAGAAUAAAUAAAUUUAACUAAUACUUAAAUAAAUGACUGUAUCAAAAGAAUAAGUACCGGCUAAUUACGUGCCAGCAGCCGCGGUAAUACGUAAGGUGCUAGCGUUAAUCGGAAUUAUUGGGCGUAAAGAGUACGUAGGUGGUUUAAAAAGACUUUUGUAAAAUCCCUGAGCUUAACUUAGGAAAUGCACAAGUUACUAUUAAACUAGAGUGUAAUAGAGGGGGGUAGAAUUUCAUAUGUAGCGGUGAAAUGCGUAGAUAUAUGAAGGAAUACCGAUUGCGAAGGCAACCCCCUGGGUUAUAACUGACACUGAUGUACGAAAGCGUGGGUAGCAAACAGGAUUAGAUACCCUGGUAGUCCACGCCCUAAACGAUGUCAACUAGUUGUUAGGUGAUAGCAUUUAGUAACGAAGCUAACGCGUUAAGUUGACCGCCUGGGGACUACGAUCGCAAGAUUAAAACUCAAAGGAAUUGACGGGGAUCAGCACAAGCGGUGGAUGAUGUGGAUUAAUUCGAUGCUACGCGAAAAACCUUACCUACUCUUGACAUGAUUAGAAUUUUAUUGAAAAAUAAAAGUGCUUGAAAAAGAACUAAUACACAGGUGCUGCAUGGCUGUCGUCAGCUCGUGUCGUGAGAUGUUGGGUUAAGUCCCGCAACGAGCGUAACCCCUAUUCUUAGUUGCUAAAUACUUUGUAUAGAACUUUAAGAAAACCGCUAGUAAUAAACUGGAGGAAGGUGGGGAUGACGUCAAGUCCUCAUGGCCCUUAUGAGUAGGGCUUCACACGUCAUACAAUGGUCGGCACAGAGAGUUGCAAAACCGUGAGGUUUAGCUAAUCUUUAAAACCGAUCUCAGUCCGGAUUGUACUCUGCAACUCGAGUACAUGAAGUAGGAAUCGCUAGUAAUCGCGGAUCAGCGUGCCGCGGUGAAUACGUUAACUGAUCUUGUACACACCGCCCGUCACACCAUGGAAGUGAGUUUUAUCAGAAGUUGUUAAUUUAACCCAAUGUGGU
rnacentral:rRNA from 1 species